CCUACGGGUGGCUGCAGUCGAGAAUCAUUCACAAUGGGGGAAACCCUGAUGGUGCGACGCCGCGUGGGGGAAUGAAGGUCUUCGGAUUGUACACCCCUGUCAUGUGGGAGCAAAUUAAAAAGAUAGUACCACAAGAGGAAGAGACGGCUAACUCUGUGCCAGCAGCCGCGGUAAUACAGAGGGCUCAAGCGUUGUUCGGAAGCACUGGGCGUAAAGGGUGCGUAGGCUGUUUCGUAAGUCGUGUGUGAAAGGCGCGGGCUCAACCCGCGGAUGGCACCUGAUACUGCGAGACUGGAGUAAUGGAGGGGGAACCGGAAUUCUCGGUGUAGCAGUGAAAUGCGUAGAUAUCGGGAGGAACACUCGUGGCGAAGGCGGGUUCCUGGACAUUAACUGACGCUGAGGCACGAAGGCCAGGGGAGCGAAAGGGAUUAGAUACCCCUGUAGUC
rnacentral:rRNA from 1 species